rnacentral:rRNA from 1 species
AGUGAACGCUGGCGGUAGGCCUAACACAUGCAAGUCGAACGGCAGCACAGUAAGAGCUUGCUCUUACGGGUGGCGAGUGGCGGACGAGUGAGGAAUACAUCGGAAUCUACUUUUUCGUGGGGGAUAACGUAGGGAAACUUACGCUAAUACCGCAUACGACCUACGGGUGAAAGCAGGGGAUCUUCUGACCUUGCGCGAUUGAAUGAGCCGAUGUCGGAUUAGCUAGUUGGCGGGGUAAAGGCCCACCAAGGCGACGAUCCGUAGCUGGUCUGAGAGGAUGAUCAGCCACACUGGAACUGAGACACGGUCCAGACUCCUACGGGAGGCAGCAGUGGGGAAUAUUGGACAAUGGGCGCAAGCCUGAUCCAGCCAUACCGCGUGGGUGAAGAAGGCCUUCGGGUUGUAAAGCCCUUUUGUUGGGAAAGAAAAGCAGCAGGUUAAUACCCCGCUGUUCUGACGGUACCCAAAGAAUAAGCACCGGCUAACUUCGUG